AGUGUGAUGAGCCAUUGCACCUAAUUCCAUCAGCCAAUUUAACAGUAAAUUUGACUCCUCCGUCAGACUUCAAAGGAGCUCAUGGUAUUUACCAAUGGUGGAAACCUGAUUUACUUGUAGAGUCCAAGAAACACCAGUUUACAUGAAUGAUGAUAUAAAACAAAGACCACUACACCGUUAGAUGGUAUGUUUGUCGAUUUUGUAUCCCUGGUCGGGUAUAUUUAUAGUUAUCAACACAUUACAUUGUGCUCUUAGCUUAAUAGUUGUGCCUUCUACUAGUGCUAAAGUUUCUUUACAGAUGCAUUGUCAUCUCUUGUUACCUUCGACUCCAGUUUUAUUCGUUCAUGUUUCUAUGUUUUGGUGAAUCUAUCCAUCAGUUCUG
rnacentral:misc_RNA from 1 species